UAUCUCAGUGGUCCUUUUCUUCUUAUCUCACAAGAAUAGCUUGGUCAUAUUUCAUCAAAAAGAUGAUGCACAAACUAGAUAUGACUCAGUAGUCAAUAAGCCCAAAAGCUCAUUUUUUUUAGUUUGUUAAUCAUUUCUUCUCCAAUAUGACUUAGCCUAAAGUCCCACAUAUACUCAAGGUUUAUCUCAACUUAGAUCUCUCAGAUCCAAUGGCAUUCACUGCUUACUCAAUUAAGUUCAUAGAUGCAUCCCAUACAAAUGAUAGAGACCGUCUUUAAAAAUUAAAUCCAAACGAUAAUCACAAAUGACAGAUACCCAUGGCCACAGCAGCCACUCUUGCC
rnacentral:lncRNA from 1 species